rnacentral:rRNA from 1 species
CCCUAUGGGGUGCAGCAGUUAGGAAUUGUGCCCAAUGCGCGAAAGCGUGAGACCGCGAAUCUGAGUGCCAGGGAGAACCCUGGCUGUGAUGGAGUGUUAGUAGCUCCAACAGCAAGCAGAGGGCAAGGCUGGUGCCAGCCGCCGCGGUAAAACCAGCUCUGCGAGUGCCUAGGACGAUUAUUGGGCUUAAAGCAUCCGUAGCCGGAUAAGUAGGUCUCUGGUUAAAUCUGCAAGCUCAACUUGUAGGCUGUCAGAGAUACCGCUCAUCUAGGGAAUAGAAGAGGUGAACGGUACUGCAGGAGAAGCGGUGAAAUGCGUUGAUUCCUGCAGGACCCACAGUGGCGAAGGCGGUUCACUAGGAUAUCUCCGACGGUGAUGGAUGAAAGCCAGGGGAGCGAAAGGGAUUAGAGACCCCUGUAGUCCUGGCCGUAAACGAUGGGGACUAGGUGUUGGUCAUGGCUAAGAGCCUGGUCAGUGCCAAAGGGAAACUAUUAAGUCCUCCGCCUGGGGAGUACGGUCGCAAGGCUGAAACUUAAAUGAAUUGACGGGAAAGCGCCACAAGGAACGGGAUGUGUGGUUUAAUUCGACUCAACGCGAGGAAACUCACCUGGGGCGACUGUUGUAUGUGUGUCACGCUGAAGACCUUACACGAAUAAAACAGAGAAGUGGUGCAUGGCCA